UGUGGUGAUGAUGGCCUGAAGGAUACACCUGUUCCCAUGCCGAACACAGAAGUUAAGCUUCAGCACGCCAAAAGUAGUUGGGGGA
rnacentral:rRNA from 1 species